GUAAAGAAUAGAUAUUGAUUAUUAUAAAAUAUCCUACAAGGUUGGAAUAGUUUCUGGAUGGUUGUCAUUAAUCACAUGACACUUAGUUCAGUACUGUUAUAACCAUAGCUUCAACAUAUCUAAUUUUGCGAUGUAUUGUUACAAGAUCAUAUUAUUUGGGCAUUUUGCCAAUCGAUGUCAAUGUUCUCAUAAGCUGCCUUUGCUAGAGCUGUGCUUAGUUUGGCCAUUUUUUAUAUCAUACUUAUGUUCAGCAAGCCUAACUCGCAAAGGGCGGAUCGUGUUUCCAACAUGGACUUUAUUGCGAUUGAAAUCAUUGUUAAAUAUUGGUUUAAAAAAUUACCACCAAAGGAG
rnacentral:lncRNA from 1 species